rnacentral:misc_RNA from 1 species
AAAUCUCUCAUCAAAUUAAUUUUUGGUGGAUGUUGAGUGCUGCUGUUAUCUAGCUCACUUUAAAUAUAUAAGUCAUUUUAUGAAUCUUGGAUUGACUUGGUGUAAUAUUUUUUGAUCAUCAAGGAAAGUAGCAAUACUUGCCAAUAUUUAUUUUCAAGGACUACUAAACCCUUCAACUUAUUUUUAAG